GACGUAGGGCGCGAGCGUUGUCCGGAUUUAUUGGGCGUAAAGAGCUCGUAGGCGGCUUGUCGCGUCGACUGUGAAAUCCCGCGGCUCAACUGCGGGUCUGCAGCCGAUACGGGCAGGCUAGAGUUCGGUAGGGGAGACUGGAAUUCCUGGUGUAGCGGUGAAAUGCGGCAGAUAUCAGGAGGAACACCGGUGGCGAAGGCGGGUCUCUGGGCCGAUGACUGACGCUGAGGAGCGAAAGCGUGGGGAGCGAACAGG
rnacentral:rRNA from 1 species